UGGAGACCUACAUAGAAACCGUAAAUGAAGCGCUUCCAGUUAGAGUAAACAAAUUUGACGCUUCCAGUCGGCUUUUCCUACAGACGCUUCACUUCAACUGGAAGUACUUCCUGUGUUCCCUCUUUUUUUUAUUUAUUUUUUUAUUUUUGUGCGUUUCACACAGGAAGAUUAUUGCUGGUGCGCCGCCUCCCAACUCCCCUUCAACUGCAAACCGUCUUUUUAUCGUUUCUGCGCAUAACAGCUGCAGCCGUUUAUAGUGUUAUUUCCAACGCGGCAGAAAAUCCGCCUCGACAGACGCUUCUCUUGGACUCGCCGUAGGAAAUGUCAGCAGCACCAACCUGCCCGGGUUGGCGCUGCAGGUCACACAGCAAAGAUGCCACGCAAUCCUGAAUUUAAAAAAAAAAAAUCCUGAACUGUCCCUUUAAGCAGACCUCCGUGUGUCCUCCAUGUGAGAAAAGUGGCUCCGGGAAGCACUGCCGGAGGAUGUGCUGCAUCCUCUUCGCUAGAAAGUCCUAGAUAGAGACCUACAAUCGCAGACAGAGAGUCGCGGCGAUGGGAAAUCACGAUCUGGAGUAAAACCACGUCCCUGAGGGGAAGAGGGUGUCAGCAGGAAUUGUGGUUCGCGCUCUGGGCCGAUCGGGACCACAAAGUCACUGCGGUGACCCUCCUUUCCACUUGGAUCACAGGGCUCAGGCCUCAUGGCCUCUCUGUGGAUAUCCAGUUACUAAUCUACGGGCCCUGACCAGUCCUCAGUCAGAUGACGCUGCCCGCCCAAGAGCAGACUGGGCUUCGCUCGGCGACACAGCCACCAGAGCAAAUGUGGCCCAGCUGGCUGCUCCUGGGAAACACUUGGAGGGGGGCUGGAAAGUUUGGGAUGGGGAGAGAAAACAACAACAAAAAAGAAAAGGCACAAGGAUAGUCAGAAAACAGAAAGCAGUGUGUGGUCGGUCACGGUCAGUCAUCGACCGUCCCCUGGGACCGUUCCCUCUCCCGGUAGAAUCCGACCAUGAGGAACAAAAGGCGUUGCGGUCGCAUCGCGUCCGGAGGAGAAGAACAGGAAACUCAGUUUUUUGGGGUUUUUUUUUCUCUCCCCCCUUUCAGAUUGAAGAACACACUGAAGCCAC